CCAAAGAAGUUGUUAGAACUUGAUAGUUUUCUGAAGGAACCAAUCUUAAACAUCCAUGACCUAACUCAGAUCCACUCUGACAUGAAUCUCCCAGUCCCUGACCCCAUUCUUCUCACCAAUAGCCAUGAUGGACUGGAUGGUCCCACUUAUAAGAAGCGAAGGUUGGAUGAUUGUGAAGAAGCCUUCCAAGGAACCAAGGUGUUUGUGAUGCCCAAUGGGAUGCUGAAAAGCAACCAGCAGCUGGUGGACAUUAUUGAGAAAGUGAAACCUGAGAUCCGGCUGUUGAUUGAGAAAUGUAACACGGUCAAAAUGUGGGUACAGCUCCUGAUUCCCAGGAUAGAAGAUGGAAACAACUUUGGGGUGUCCAUUCAGGAGGAAACGGUUGCAGAGCUAAGAACUGUUGAGAGUGAAGCUGCAUCUUAUCUGGACCAGAUUUCUAGGUAGGGCUGCUUGGGCUUGGCCGAGGCAUUGGGGGCUGAUGAGGUGGUGGGCACCAUCAAGGGUCUCCUGCAGCUUCCUCCUCUUCUCUCUCCUUCCAGAUAUUAUAUUACA
rnacentral:sRNA from 1 species